CAUGAUUGAGAAACCUUAGAAAAAAAAUUACAUAAAAAAUAUUAAGACCAAUAAGGUUAAAUAACGUUAAGAAGUGGAGGUGACGGCCCAGCCGAUCGACCCCAAAAAAGUCAAAGGUCUCUUUCAAACGUUUUUAAUUUAAUUACAAAUAGAACAAAGUCAAAAUGCUCAUCUUGCAAAGAUUACGAUACAAUUAAUGAUGCGGGUACAUGAGCAGACUUUGAAGCCAGCGUUUGUAUACUGAUGACAAUUUUCUCAAAACAUGGCAUUAUUUUUAAGACAUUUGACGACUGAGUAUGUUAAGCAUUUCCCCUGCCUUUUUAGAAUAGAGAAGAUGGCAGAAGCGGACGGAGAGGGGACAUGAUCCGAGUAUCUUAUAAAACAAAACUCACUCGGCAUUUCGGCUCACUUUCGCAGUUGACAACACAGAUGUUGUCAUACCUUGCUUGAUUCCCGAAGAUGAAACCACGAGAAGAGCCGCCAGGAGAAGUACUUUCGGGAGCGACAUGUUAUCGCAUCAUUGAUCCAAAACCUCUGCACCCUUCGUGAGUUGGCACAUCUGGAAUCAUCGCCUUCGUAUACAACACUACGCCCUGCAUGACGCUAUUACGAACCCCACCUCUGAGGGGAUGAACAGGAUAAACCUUCAGGUGCCGCUAUCACGUGACCUUGUCCAUGCGCAUUGACUUCCUGAUGGAAGGUUCUUGUGUUACAGGUUUUGCAGUUAACGUAUGAUCACAUAGCGCGUUUGACGCCGAUAUUCUAGUCAUUACAUUAGUAAAAAACAGGAGAGAAGGUCGAA